rnacentral:rRNA from 1 species
UACGUAGGCAGCGAGCGUUGUUCGGAAUUACUGGGCGUAAAGAGUGUGUAGGCGGUGCUCUAAGUUCGGUGUGAAAUCUCCUGGCUUAACUGGGAGGGUGCGCCGGAAACUGGGGUGCUCGAGCGUGGGAGAGGAAAGCGGAAUUCCUGGUGUAGCGGUGAAAUGCGUAGAUAUCAGGAAGAACACCCGUGGCUAAGGCGGCUCUCUAGUACGGUACUGACGCUGAGACGCGAAAGCGUGGGGAGCGAACAGG